UGGGGAAUAUUGCACAAUGGAGGAAACUCUGAUGCAGCGAUGCCGCGUGAGGGAAGAAGGUUUUCGGAUUGUAAACCUCUGUCUUCAGGGACGAAAAAUGACGGUACCUGAGGAGGAAGCUCCGGCUAACUACGUGCCAGCAGCCGCGGUAAUACGUAGGGAGCGAGCGUUGUCCGGAAUUACUGGGUGUAAAGGGAGCGCAGGCGGGGCUUUAAGUCAGGUGUGAAAUGUAUGGGCUCAACCCGUAAACUGCACUUGAAACUGAGGCUCUUGAGUGAAGUAGAGGCAGGCGGAAUUCCUAGUGUAGCGGUGAAAUGCGUAGAUAUUAGGAGGAACA
rnacentral:rRNA from 1 species